rnacentral:lncRNA from 1 species
CUUGAUAAGCCAUCAAUAUUUAGAUAGUGGAGAUUUGGGGUUUUAAUGAGGGUGGGAUUUCCUUCCGUGUUAAUCUUUAGAGCUGCUUGCUUUCCUUCGAUAUAAACACCAGCACCCAGGGGACGAACAUGACUUCCGCAGCAACCAACAACACAAAAAUGAAAAGGAAUAGCUAACUAUCUCCCGUGCCACAUAUGAGGAACUACACAUGGGCCCUAGGCUUUGUAGCUCUUGUAGCCAUAGCCACCACUUUGGUCUCAGGCCAUGCAACCAGGAGUUACAUAGGUAUGGUUUUCUUCGUUCUUUCAUGAUCUCUCACUCGUAUUUGGAUACACAAACAUUUAUUUUCCUGGUGGGAUAUAUUUUUUAUUGAGGUAUCUCUAUUGUGCUUUGUGCAUAGGUGCAACUGACAUGUGUGCAGCUGGAGCUGACGACCACUGUUCGCCACCAGAACGAGCUACUGGUAACAUUCUGUGCAAGGCUUGCUGCGCUGCCCAAGGUUAUGACAGGGAUAAGAGCAGUUGUUGUCCAGGCAGAAGUAGCUCCUGCUGCUGUGUAAAGGACUGAGAAGUGCCAUGAAAUGAGUUUAUAUAUUUGCUAGAAAUAUUGCCUGAAGGAGAAUGAAUAAAUAGUUUGGGUGAACUUUAUUUAGUUCAUACAAAACAAUCAAUUAACCAUUGAGAAUUGUUGAUUUAUUAUAUAAUUUUUCGUUGUGUCCCAAAUCAUUUGAUCA